GGUCUAUAUAAGGAAGCUAAACUCUUCUAUGAUUACCCUAAAAGAAUUCUGACUGAUACAGUGAUGACUGAACUAAAAUCAGUAGAUGUUUUGCAGGCUAACUUUAAAAAGAAGCAAUAAAUUUGUAGGGGAGUUAAUUUGGGACAUGCCAAGUUGGAGGUGUCAAUGAAGCGUCCAAGUGGUGACGCUUGGCAGACAGUAGGAUGCAUAGUCUGAAACUCUGGGAGAAAUGUCCAUUCUUGGAAACCUGUUGAAAAUCAAUUGUCCACAGGUGGAUGGAUUUAUUUCUGAACUUUCGGUUUAAUUCAGUUAGUCUAUAUGUCUAGCCUUAUGCGAGUACCAUACCCUUUAGAAUACUGUAGCUUUGUAGUUAAGUUUUAAAAUCCAGAAUUAACUGAGGGUCCUGGAAAUCUGACGUCAAUGCCAUUUUUUUACAUUAUUAACUGAAGAAAAAUUGGUGCCUUUUACAGAUUUUUUAAAGAUUAAGAUAUAGGAAGAAGUCAGAAGGAGCCAAAUCAGGACUGUAAGAUGGAUGCCUAAUGAUUUCCCUUCAGAACUUUCACAAAAUUGACCUUGUUUGAUGAGAGGAAUAAGCAGGAGCAUUGUCAUGGUGGAGAAAGACUCUCUGGUGAAGCUUUCCUGGUAUUUUUCUGCUAAAGCUUUGUCUAACUCUCUUAAAACACUCUCAUAAUAAGCAGAUGCUAUCAUUCUUUGGCCCUCCAGAAAGUAAACAAGUAAAUGCUUUGACCAUCCCAAAAAACUGUUGCUGUGACCUUUGCUCUUGACCAGUUCACUUUUGCUUUGACUGGACCACUUUUUUUGUUUGUUUGUUUGUUUGUUUGUCUUUUGAGACAGAGCCACACUCUGUUGCCCAGGCUGGUGUGCAGUGGCACAAUCUCGGCUCACUGCAACCUCCACCUCCUGGGUUCAAGAGAUUCUCCUGCCUCAGCCUCCUGAGCAGCUGGAACUACAGGCAUGUGCCACCACACCUGGCUAAUUUUUGUGUUUUCAGUAGAGAUGGGGUUUCCCCAUGUUGCCCAGACUGGUCUCAAACUCCUGGCCUCAAGCGACCCACCCACCUCGGCCUCCCAAAGUGCUGGGAUUACAAGCGUGAGCCACUGCACCUGGCAUGGACCACUUUUUACCUCUUGGUAUCCAUUGCUUUGAUUGUGCCUUGUCUUUAGGAUCAUACUGGUAAAACUAUAUGUCAUCUCCUGUUAUAAUCCUUUAAAGAAAUGCUUCAGGAUCUUGACUCUGCUUGUUUAAAAUUUCCUUUGAAAGCUCUGCUCUUUUGUGCAGCUGAUCUGGGCACAAUGGUUUUGGCACCCAUCAAGUGGAAAGUUUGCACAACUUUAAUUUUUCGGUCAGAACUGGGUAAGCUGAACCAACUGAGAUGUUUAUGGCAUUGACUAUUGUUUCUGCUGUUAAUCGUUGAUCCUCUUCAAUUAGGUCACAAACAAGAUUAAUUUUUUCCUCAUAAAUGGAUGUGGAUGGUCUGCCACCGUAGGCUUCAUAUUCAAUAUCAUCUCAUCCUUUCUUAAAAUGAGUUAUCCAUUGCUGAUUUCUUUGGGGCGUUGUCCCCAUAAACUUUUUGUAAAGCACCAGUGAUUUCACCAUUCUCCAACUCAAGCUUCACUACAAAUGUGAUGUUUGUUCUUGCUUCAAUUUUAACAAAAUUCAUGUCGCUCUGAUAUGGGCUGUUUUCAAACUGAUGCCUUAUCUUUCUUAGUGCCUCAAUCUAGAUCUUGUUCAGACAUGUUAUAAGUUAGUACAAGUUCAUUUUAGUGCAAAAAAUUGAAAUCCAUGCAUUCUCUUCUCAUAUGUGUUUUCCAUGAACUUUUGAAGAUCCCUCAGAUAAUCAUUUUCAUAUGCUACUGAAGUCAAUUUGUUAGUAUUUUGUUGAAGAUUUGUACAUCCAUAUUCACAAUGGAUAUUGGUCUGUUAUUUUCUUUUCCCUGUUGUCUUUGUCUGGUGUUAGUAUUAGGGUAAUAUUGGUCUUAUAGAAGGUGUUAGGAAGUAUCCCCUGCCCUUUAUUUUUUUAAAAAAUCUUUGUGAAAGCUUAAGGAUAAUUAUUUGAAAAUUUGGCAGAAUUUAUCAGUGAAGCCAUCCAGUCAUGGGCUUUUUUUUUUUU
rnacentral:lncRNA from 1 species